AGUAGUAGAGAUUAUAUGGCUUAAGGUAACCAAACCUGAAAAGAUUUGUUCUUUGUAAUUUUGGACAACUGAGAUAUGUUCAGAUGCUAUUGAACACUCUGUAGCUGAACAGUUCUCACUUUCGCUGCUGUUGCUGCUAGACAACGGCUGAAUUUUGUUGAUGCUCCUCACAUUUGCAAUUAUUUGUUCGGCUCUACUUAGCCGCGAAGGGACGUGAACAUUAAUUCAUUAUGAAGAGCUGACAUUUGAGAAUGCCCUGAUCAACUAGCUGCAUAUACAGUAAUGUAAAUUUCAUUUUUGGUUUCACAAGCUGGAGAUGCUGAUUUUAUAUUCCUUGAGGAAAUAUGAAUGAACUAAAUCAAGUGGUCUAAAGUUAGUUUGGUUUCAAGAUUCCAAGGACAGGGAAAAAAACUUUGCUGACCAUGAUACCAAUGUACCUGUCGUAGAUGAUUCGUAUGCUGGAGCUUUAGUAGGCGGAUGGAGGUACCUCAUAUAAGGCGAAACUUGUUCUAGAGAACUAUUAUGUUAGAUUUCAUUGCAGAAGAGGACUGCCGCUUACCUUUUCCCUGAUUCUAUCACGAUACAGAUUCAUAUGUAAACUGAAUGCCAAAAGAGAGGACUGCCCCAUCGCACUCACUUGGUUGCUCAAAGUUGACGGAACUCUCUAUAAAUAUGUUGACGCCCUUUUCUCUUUCCUACAGCACUUGCAUUUUAAUUGAUCGAAGGGACAAUGCUUUUCAUGAUUAUUUCUGCCACUUUUCUGUAUGGCAAUGGCUUAGCCAUUUGCUCGAUCUAUGACUGUAUUAGUAAAUGCAAA